GCGGUGCCUUCGUCCUGCAUAGACGAAUCCGGGGUAACGUCCAUUAACACCAGAACAUCGUUAUCGCUAUUUACUUCAUACUGGUCGCUAUUUAAACUCUCGGAUUUAAAUAUUAAUCUAACUUCAGAAAUGUCAAUGCGUUGUCCAGCGAUAUCCCGAUGUCCUUUUUCCACCAUUUCGUUAAUUUCAGCAUCAGUUAACGACUUAAGUCCUUGUGUCACAGCCUUGAACUCUUGCUUCAGUCUAGCACCCAGCACUUUAUGAUCAGGUUCAGCUCUCAGAGUGAUGCCAAAUUUACUUUUAUCAGUAGUUGUGCUUAUUUUCCUUACAUUUAAUUCUGAUAAAAUAUAGCCUUGCAAUUGUAUAAUGUCAUCUAAAUACUGUUGAUCUCGAUGUACUACGAUUAUUUCUGGUAAGGGAUACUUUAUUGGUAUUGUUUUUCUGUCC